rnacentral:rRNA from 1 species
CCAACCGGGAUUGCCUCAGUAACGGCGAGUGAAGCGGCAACAGCUCAAAUUUGAAAUCCGGCCCCGUCGGGGCCCGAGUUGUAAUUUGCAGAGGGUGCUUCGGGCGCGGCGCCGGCCUAAGUUCCUUGGAACAGGACGUCACAGAGGGUGAGAAUCCCGUACGCGGCCGGCGGCCACCCCGUGUGAAGCCCCUUCGACGAGUCGAGUUGUUUGGGAAUGCAGCUCCAAACGGGUGGUAAAUUCCAUCUAAAGCUAAAUACCGGCCGGAGACCGAUAGCGCACAAGUAGAGUGAUCGAAAGAUGAAAAGCACCUUGGAAAGGGAGUCAAACAGCACGUGAAAUUGUUGAAAGGGAAGCGCUUGUCCCCAGACCUGCCCGCGGGCGAUCACCCGCCAUUCGUGGCGGCGCAUGCGCUCGCGAUCAGGCCAGCACGGGUUCGGGCGGCGGGACAAAGAGCCUGGGAACGUAGCUCCCUCCGGGGCGUCUUAUAGCCCGGGCUGUCAUGCCGCCUGCCCGGACCGAGGACCGCGCUUCGGCUAGGGUGCUGGCGUAAUGGGGGUAAGCGACCCGUCUUGAAACACGGACCAAGGAGUCUACCAUCUACGCGAGUGUUUGGGCGUCAAACCCCGGCGCGGAAUGAAAGUGAACGGAGGUGGGAGCCUCGCGAGGGGCGCACCAUCGACCGAUCCAGAUGUCUUCGGAUGGAUUUGAGUACGAGCGCAGCUGGUGGGACCCGAAAGAUGGUGAACUAUGCCUGAAUAGGGUGAAGCCAGAGGAAACUCUGGUGGAGGCUCGCAGCGGUUCUGACGUGCAAAUCGAUCGUCAAAUUUGGGCAUAGGGGCGAAAGACUAAUCGAACC